UCAAAUAUAACUCAAUUACCCCAACCUAAUAAUGCAUUGCUUUUGCCCCAACUUACAUAAAUUUCCUCUAAGGCAAAAUCCCUAAAACUAAAAUUACUAUUCUCUUUUGCCCUAGCUAUGGUGAAUUGGUCGUUACUUCCACACGAUUUACUACUUACAAUAGCAAAUCGUGUUACGUUUAUGGAGGAUUUCAUUGUAUUUGGUGCUGUUGUAAAUCAUGGCAAAUUGCUGCUUCUAAAGAAAACUUUGAUGGAACAUUCCCACUACUUCCAUUGCUUAUGUUGACUGCUGAAAAAGACGAUGACGACAAUGAUUACCGAGAAUCUUUCUCUCUUUCUAAGAAGAAAAUAACACGAGUAUUUCUCCCACAAGCUAAAGAUCGAGAAUGUUUUUCAACAAUGGAUGGAUUGCUACCUUCGAAUAUAGAGGUAUCGGAGGAAUGAAGUUAUUGUAUCCUUUUUCACAUGCUCAAAUUCAUCUUCCUCCACAUAUUGGCUUGAGAUAUUGGGAACCAACUCAUGAAACUAGCGAUGUGUCUAUAGAUAAAAUUAUAUUAUCUGCUAAUCCUUCGUUAUCAUCUAAUUAUGUCGUAUAGUAGGCAUAAAAGUCAUUUGGGUUAUUGGGAACCUGGUGAUUUCUUUUGGACUCCAAUUUAUGAUGUUGAUGGAUUUGGUGAAUUAUGGGAUAUCCACUACUUUAAUGGAAAAUUUUAUGUAAUAACUUCUACUGGAGUUUGGGUUAUUGAUGAGGAUUAUGAACUCCAAUUGGUUAUUCGGAAAAACAAAAUAUGAUCCACCAAAGCAGCUUUAUCUAGUCAAGUAUCAGCUCUGUUUUGUGGUUGAUCCCGUAGAUUGUCACAAGAAAAGGGGUAGUGGGGUGAAUACAAGAACUACUGUGAAUCUGCAGCUAUAUCCAUGGUAGAAGAUGAUUCUCAGUUGGUAUUGUCCUUGUUUAUGUUUGGCUAAUGCUGCAAGAGUAAAACCAAGUGGUGUAUUAGUAACCGCUACUUUAUCAAAAAAGUUGCAGUACUACCUAUCUUUGUUAGGUUGUCCUCCAGUCCAUUUCCCUCUCUGUAUGUAUGGCUUAUCGAUGUAUUUUUCAGUUGUUGGAGUAACCACAUGCAGUCGUGCAAAAUAUUGGAGUAUAUGAGGUUAGUAGAUUGUAUGUGAUGGAGAACUUCUUACAGAACUACUUUCUGUGCCUAGUGAUUGUAAGUUAUAGGCAAGGUCCAGGGAAAACUUUAAGCUUGCAGUAGAACCCGCAGUUCAGUGCGAAUACUGGACAAUUAGUAAGGAGUGAAAGUCUCUUAACGGUAAGAAGAGAAGCUCAUGAAUAUCUUUCCUCAUCGUGUAGUAGGAGAAUAAAUACCACUACAUCCUUUUUUUCCCCUUGAAAUAUGAUCUAUUAGUGGCAAGAAAUACUAGUAUUCUAUUGCACCAAUUUGUUAAUAACAAGACUUUUUCUUUAACUACUUAAAACCCCCGUAGAGAUAUUGAUAUCUUAGGUGGGUUAUACGAAAUGAUAUAUUUUUUUUUAAAUUUUGAUUAGAUGAUUAAAAAAGUACAAUACUCCUUAUAUGUAAUUUUCUCUUCUCUUCA